GCUGGGCGUGGUGGCGCAUGCCUGUAGUCCCAGCUACUCGGGAGGCUGAGGCAGGAGAAUCACUUGAACCCAGGAGGCAGAGGUUGCAGUGAGCUGAAAUGGCACCACUGCACUCCAGCCUGGGUGACAGAGUGAGACUCUGUCUCAA
rfam:Gorilla gorilla gorilla genomic chromosome, chr8, whole genome shotgun sequence